UACAGAGGUCUCAAGCGUUGUUCGGAUUCAUUGGGCGUAAAGGGCGCGUAGGCGGCGGGGUCAGUCGGGUGUGAAAUCUUGGGGCUUAACCCCGAAACGGCACUCGAAACUGCCCGGCUGGAGGGCCGGAGAGGAGAUCGGAAUUCACGGUGUAGCAGUGAAAUGCGUAGAGAUCGUGAGGAAGACCCGGGGCGAAGGCGGAUCUCUGGACGGGUAACUGACGCUGAGACGCGAAAGCGUGGGGAGCGAACAGG
rnacentral:rRNA from 1 species